UGGAUUAAGAGCUUGCUCUUAUGAAGUUAGCGGCGGACGGGUGAGUAACACGUGGGUAACCUGCCCAUAAGACUGGGAUAACUCCGGGAAACCGGGGCUAAUACCGGAUAACAUUUUGCACNGCAUGGNGCGAAAUUGAAAGGCGGCUUCGGCUGUCACUUAUGGAUGGACCCGCGUCGCAUUAGCUAGUUGGUGAGGUAACGGCUCACCAAGGCAACGAUGCGUAGCCGACCUGAGAGGGUGAUCGGCCACACUGGGACUGAGACACGGCCCAGACUCCUACGGGAGGCAGCAGUAGGGAAUCUUCCGCAAUGGACGAAAGUCUGACGGAGCAACGCCGCGUGAGUGAUGAAGGCUUUCGGGUCGUAAAACUCUGUUGUUAGGGAAGAACAAGUGCUAGUUGAAUAAGCUGGCACCUUGACGGUACCUAACCAGAAAGCCACGGCUAACUACGUGCCAGCAGCCGCGGUAAUACGUAGGUGGCAAGCGUUAUCCGGAAUUAUUGGGCGUAAAGCGCGCGCAGGUGGUUUCUUAAGUCUGAUGUGAAAGCCCACGGCUCAACCGUGGAGGGUCAUUGGAAACUGGNAGACUUGAGUGCAGAAGAGGAAAGUGGAAUUCCAUGUGUAGCGGUGAAAUGCGUAGAGAUAUGGAGGAACACCAGUGGCGAAGGCGACUUUCUGGUCUGUAACUGACACUGANGCGCGAAAGCGUGGGGAGC
rnacentral:rRNA from 2 species